ensembl:lncRNA
UGAAUACUGAAGAGCAAGUAAUAAUAGGUACGGUAUUAGCGGCAUUCAUUUUGUUCACUGAUUUUAAGUUUACACAUUGAAAUCAAGAAGUAAUAAAUACUGGAAUUUUUGGCAUUUGGACAUUCCCUGGAAAACUCAAGAAUUGUUAAGUACUUUCAGAAAAGAAAUAGAGAGAACAUGCAUCUCACUAGUUACUGGCUGUAUGUUACAUCUCUUGUUAAGAUAGCCUGCCUAUCUGAAGAGAUCAUUACUGAUUCAAAGACCAGAAAAAUAUAAAAAAGGAAGACAGGUUCCUGAAAAAGGUGUUGGAUCUGGAUCUAGUAAAACAUGAAAGAUUUGUUACAAGUAUUACAAGUAUUUCAAACGUAAAGCUGCAGAUCUGUGACAAAGAAUGCAGGCCACACCUAAAGAAGAAGAAACUCGUCUAUCCUAGGAUGCAUUCAUUCUGUUACAAACACGGAAAAUCAGUAAUUAAAAGAACAUAAGUUUGUAGUGAAAUGAGCACCGAAGAGAUUUAGAUGAUUCUUAGAAAUAAUAAGCACAAAAAUAUCAAACAGGAAGAAACAGGUUAUAUUGUCUCAGUGCUGUGAACUCCGUAAACCACUCCAAAAUACUGUGCCUGCUUCCUGUACCUGCAGAAGUACACUGAGGAAUAGGACAGGCUUCAAAGAACAACAACAAAAAUAAUGAAAAUAUUAUGUAAGAGAAAGUCUCUAUUUACACAGCUAUUAUAGGACUCAAAGCAACAGCUAAUUCUGGGGAAUCCUACAGCAUGCACUAUGCAUGGGUCAAGAUAGAAGUGCUGGAACAGUCUCUUACUACUGAUAUAUUUCAAAAGAUGUUUUUAUUUCUACACAUAGAAACUUGUAUACUUGGGCAAAGUACUGGAAGUGCUCAACUAUUAAAAAAAUAUCCACAGCGUGGACUUGCAAGAAGUGAAGAAGUUGUUCACAUCCAGUUUCUACAAGGGAAACUUGUGCAGAAAAGGAUGGUGAACUUUACCAUUCAAAUGAAGAUACUUCUGCGGUUUGUUUAAGGACAUUCUACAAAAGAUUCCUCCUAUUGAUUGAUCUUUCUUUUUGCAAAUUCACUGGAGUUUUUCUAAUAGCAUUACUCAGAAGAGUUCUCAGCCAAACUGAAUUACAAAGAACAAAUGGUUCCAGGGCCUCUAAGGAAUCUCUGCUCAGCAAGCUGGUGUGGUUUUAUUCCUUGGAAAAGGUUUUGUUAUUCUAUCAGGGAUUUUACUGCCUAAAACAAAACUGAUUAAAAAAAAAGGGAAAGGAAAAUCCUAUCAUCAUGAGCUUCAAAAGCAGGAAAAAAAAUAUCUAUUUCUGAAGGUCUCAGGGAUUUUCUUUCAUACACAGACCUCAAGAAAAAUCAGCGUUCUUUCUUAUGCAUGUUGCAAAUCUACCUACUGAACCAUGAAGUUUAGGACUCUCCAGCUUCAUAUUUCUCCUGUACUGCCUGACUUUAUUUUUAACACUUCUCCCACACUACUGGGAGAGUACUGCCCAGACUCCAACCAGCACCAAACCUGGAACUCAGUUCUGUUCUUCUUCAUCCAGUAUCCCACCCCACAGACUGUAUAAUGACCUGAAUCCCAGUAUAGUUACUACAGGAAUAGAAAACAUUUUUUCCUAAACAUCCUUUGUCUUUUGAUUUGGAUCAUUCAUAAGCACAUUUUAAGACCUAUCUUGUAUUCAACACCUUUUCAUUACGAAUAACUAACAGUUAAAGAAUUCUUAAGACUAAGUAUUUUGUACUGAUUGGUGCAAUGCAAUCUGAGAUUUAUAUAUAUAUUUGGACAAAAAGCAGCACAUCACGAAAAAUACAAAGUACUAAAAGUAAAUGAAAUAUUAAUUAGAAAUCAAGUAUGUUAUUCUUGAUAAAAAUCUUUUUUUCACUACGUAGUGAAUAUGAAUGUAUGAAUAUGUAUGCAGUUCUCCACAUGAAAUAUAAUGUACAAUAUGUUUGUUCUGUACGUUCUUAUUGGGAAGCAAUAAUGAAGAUCAUGGAGAUAAAAGAAAUUCAAGAAAGAGAGAUAAAAGCCUGAUAUCACUGAAGUUAGUAGCAAAAACUCCUUUUUGAUUCAAAUAAGGUUAACUUUUACAUUUGUUAUACAAUAAUAUGUUUUUUCUGGAACAAUUGUUUUGUGGCAUAUCCAUCAUGCAGAGAAGCUCCAUUUUUAUUUUACUUAUUUCUUUUUAUAGUGUAAUACUGUAUUCUCUGUACCUUGGUGUAACAAAAAACUUAAUGUUUGACAGACUGAGCACUUCCUUUUUAAGUCACUGGUCAUCACUGACUUUGCUGUUCAUCUUACCUAAGAAUUAACUUUCUCUCUUUUAAGUGAAAACUUGAUACUGAUAUUUAAAAUCCCACAUAUUCCUGUUUGGACUACCACUAUUUUUAGCUACAAAAAGCUGUUUGAUAUUCAUUUUUUUUUUUUAUUCAAAUGGUAGAAUUCUCAACCUCAUCUUCAUUCAGGUCCCAGAAGUUAC